CACCUCUUUUUUCUUCUCUACAUUUGGAAUCGUUCAUUUCUUGAAGCUUUCUGCACUGUUGUCUGUAAACCCUCUGUGUUUCUCAAGUCCUUCGCCUUGUUGAUAUUAGCCCAGCGAAAUUCAGAUUUAAAACUUAAAUUUUCUUUCAAUCAUCUGCAAAUUUCGAUCAAUGCAUUUGCCUGAAAUCGGGGUUUACAGCUAAUUGUGUGACGUGAAAUCGCGCUGACAGAUUGCAACAGAGCUUUCCUCUCCCUUACACCCUUCCCCCACUCUGCAACAAGGAUUUUCCCAAAUCUUGAAUCUCACCAUCAAGCAAAGACUUUAUCCUACAAUUGUUCCUCUGCCCUUGAGGCAAAAGGAGACGAAGAUCACAUCUCUCAGAAGGACUAAGAAUGAUGGACUUGCCACUGUGAGACUCUUCCAGGAGAAUACUCCUUCCAUUUUUUAUAUUACCAAUCUCGCCAUCAGGUAAUAUUUUCACUUCUGUGUUGAUUGCCUUCUUCAUUGGAAAUGACUUUUGAUUUCUAUCUGUAAAUUGAAUACAAGUAGAGGAGCGACGCAAUUUUUGGGAAGACAUUUUCUGAGUUUAGUUUACGUCAUGUUUGAAAACAUAUUCUGUGAAUUAUAUCAGUAUGAGGUAGAAAUUAAAGUUAAAGGACACGUCACUUAAAAAAUUUACCAAAUAAUAAUAAAAAAUGUUCAUUAGUGAAAUUGUUUACUGAAUUGUUGAGGGCUAGUUUUAGCACACUGUUAAAUGAGGGUCAUUUUCUCAGGUUCUAUAUAUUUUCUUACUUUGUAAGUUGUGUCUUUUACUGGUAAAUCUGGGGUUUAACUACUGCGGCUACAAAAAAGGGCUUCAUUCCCAUACAUUGAAACAUUCAGGCAACUAACCAACUCAGCCAAUAGGACAAUAUGUGGGCUUUGAACUGGAUAUCUAUGAAAGAACAUCCAAUAGUCAUACCAUUAGACCAAAGACCAACUCAACCAAAACCAUAAUGUCUACUAUGGGACUUGUCCAUCGAGGAUCAAUUCAAUACUUAUUGCCAAACAUUCAAUAAACGUGACAUUACACCAUGCACCUAUGCGCCAUGCACUGCUUUGUAAGUUUUGUUACAGAAAUGAUUCUUGAUAAUUUGUUGUCAACUUAUUCUUGCGAGUUGUAAA